rnacentral:lncRNA from 10 species
GAAAAAAGGGCAUUCUGAUAGGACAGAAAUGGAACAUGGGCGGGGACAAAUAAGGGAAUAGAAGCUGGCCACCCCAGCCAACAGCAGGAACCCGCUGGGUCCACCUUCCAUGCUGUGGGAGCUUUGUUCUUUUGCUCUUCAUGAUAAAUCUUGCUGCUCCUCACUCUUUGCCUCCCUACCACCUUUAAGAGCUGUAACACUCACAGUGAAGGUCCACGGUUUCAUUCUUGAAGUCAGCGAGACCACGAACCCACUGGCAGGAACCCACUCCAGACACAUCAUGAGACACUAAAGGAGCACUAUGGAGGGGCUCACAUGGCUGACAGAUUGACUGCAAAGUUAUGAGAGAUCCUGAGCUGGAACCAGCCACCCAGCUAAGAUGCUCAUCAAUUCUUGACCUACAGAAAUUGCUAAAGAAUA